CCAAGGCUGCGGAAGUCUGUGAGGCUCCCACAUCCACUUGGAUCAUACCGUUGUUCCUGUCCUGGCCCUAGGGGACACCUGGCCUUGUCCAUUCCCAGGAACCAUUGGCCACUUUUGACCCACAUUCACUGACCUGUUGAAGCAUGACGAGUUGAAACCCUUGACAGUCCGCGUCCUAUACCUGGUCCACAAACACAGAAAAGCGACUUCACUCCUUAGCUGCCCAAGAGGCCUGAUGUCUGAAAUCUGAAGGACCAGCUCUGAGUCUGUACCUGUGCCACUGUGCCUCCUGCUGUGCCUGGCUGUGCCUCCUGCUGUGCCAGGCUGUGCCUCCUGCUCUGCCUGCCUGUGCCUCCUGCUGUGCCAGGCUGUGUCUCCUGCUGUGCCUGGCUCACAGAGCCUUUGCUUUCCGAGAUACACGCAGUCCUAUGUGUCCAUGUUCAGGGCCACUCAGGAUUCCGAAAGUAUGGGCACAUGCUGUUAGCAUUUUGUCUAAGCUCUGCCCCGCAGUUACCUGGCAAUGGCCAGGUUCAAGACCCGUGUCUGUGAGCACAGACCAGGGACGCCAAGCAUUUGUGGACUCGUGAAUUAAGUUUUGGGAGUGAGACCCAAAUGUGCCCAACUCUGCCUGGUGGCUGUGGUGGCCUUCCUGGGAGCAACUCAACUCAGCCUAGGCUCUUGGGCACCACCAGAGAGAGCAGGUUCCUGCUGGAGUUCUGCGCUGCAUUCUUUCCAUGAUGGGCUGUCGUCCGGAUGUGUUAGCCAAACAAACCUUUUCCUUUUCAAGAUGCUUUUGGUUUUAUCAUAAACAACAAACUAGGGCAGAUGUCAGUCACUUAUAGAUGUAACUAGAGGAAGAAUCUGGAGUCAGGAACCCCAGGGUCAGUCAAAUUCCUUAGUUUGAUGUAUCCAAUAAGGUAUUUUAUUCCCCCCAC